rfam:Rufibacter tibetensis strain 1351, complete genome.
GCCUCAGUUUAGGGGUGCCUUAAGAUAACGGGCUGAGAUCAUACCCAUUGAACCUGAUCCGGGUAAUGCCGACGGAGGGAAAAACAAGGGAACAAAAC